rnacentral:rRNA from 1 species
CCUACGUGGGGCAGCAAUGGGGAAUAUUGCGCAAUGGGCGAAAGCCUGACGCAGCGACGCCGCGUGAGGGAUGAAGGUCUUCGGAUCGUAAACCUCUGUCAGCAGGGAAGAACGGUCACUGUGCUAAUCAGCAGUGAAUUGACGGUACCUGCAAAGGAAGCACCGGCUAACUCCGUGCCAGCAGCCGCGGUAAUACAGAGGGUGCGUGCGUUAAUAGGAUUUACUGGGCGUAAAGCGCUCGUAGGCGGUAUGUCAAGUGAAGGGUGAAAUCCCCGCGCUCAACGUGGGAACUGCCUUUGAGACUGGCGAACUUGAGUGUGUGAGAGGAUAGUGGAAUUCCGGGUGUAGGAGUGAAAUGCGUAGAUAUCUGGAGGAACAUCAGUGGCGAAGGCGACUAUCUGGCACAUAACUGACGCUGAGGAGCGAAAGCGUGGGUAGCAAACAGGAUUAGAUACCCGAGUAGUC